UACGUAGGGCGCAAGCGUUGUCCGGAAUUAUUGGGCGUAAAGAGCUCGUAGGCGGCCUGUUGCGUCCGCUGUGAAAUCCCGGGGCUUAACCCCGGGCCUGCAGUGGAUACGGGCAGGCUGGAGGCAGGCAGGGGAGAAUGGAAUUCCCGGUGUAGCGGUGAAAUGCGCAGAUAUCGGGAGGAACACCGGUGGCGAAGGCGGUUCUCUGGGCCUUACCUGACGCUGAGGAGCGAAAGCGUGGGGAGCGAACAGG
rnacentral:rRNA from 1 species